rnacentral:rRNA from 1 species
UGAGAAUCUGCCCUUAGGAUGGGGACAACAGUUGGAAACGACUGCUAAUACCCAAUAUGCCGGAAGGUGAAACUUAUAUGGCCUGAGGAAGAGCUCGCGUCUGAUUAGCUAGUUGGUAGUGUAAUGGACUACCAAGGCGACGAUCAGUAGCUGGUCUGAGAGGAUGAUCAGCCACACUGGGACUGAGACACGGCCCAGACUCCUACGGGAGGCAGCAGUGGGGAAUUUUCCGCAAUGGGCGAAAGCCUGACGGAGCAAGACCGCGUGAGGGAGGAAGGCCUACUGGUUGUAAACCUCUUUUGAUAGGGAAGAACACAAUGACGGUACCUAUCGAAUCAGCCUCGGCUAACUCCGUGCCAGCAGCCGCGGUAAUACGGAGGAGGCAAGCGUUAUCCGGAAUUAUUGGGCGUAAAGCGUCCGUAGGUGGUUAUCCAAGUCAGUUGUUAAAGCGUAGAGCUUAACUCUAUAAGGGCAAUUGAAACUGGGUGGCUAGAGUGCGAUAGGGGCAAGGGGAAUUCCCAGUGUAGCGGUGAAAUGCGUAGAUAUUGGGAAGAACAUCGGUGGCGAAAGCGCCUUGCUGGGUCUGCACUGACACUGAGGGACGAAAGCUAGGGGAGCAGAAAGGGAUUAGAUACACCCAUGCUAGUCUAAAAUCCCAACCA